rnacentral:ncRNA from 1 species
CCGUGCGCUGGAUUAUGACUGAACGCCUCUAAGUCAGAAUCCGGGCCAGAAGCGACGCGUUGUCCGCCGCUCGUUUGCCGACCAGCAGUAGAGGCCCUCCGGCCCCCAAAGGCACGUGUCGUUGGCUAAGCCCUCGCGGCGGACGAGCCGCGCGGGCCGCCUUGAAUUACAAUUUCCACCGGGCGGCGGACUGAAUCCUUUGCAGACGACUUAAAUACGCGACGGGGUAUUGUAAGUGGCAGAGUGGCCUUGCUGCCACGAUCCACUGAGAUUCAGCCCUUCGUCGCUCCGAUUCGU